AUUGAACGCUGGCGGCAUGCCUUACACAUGCAAGCCGAACGGCAGCGCGGACUUCGGUCUGGCGGCGAGUGGCGAACGGGUGAGUAAUACAUCGGAACGUGCCCUGUUGUGGGGGAUAACUAGUCGAAAGAUUAGCUAAUACCGCAUACGACCUGAGGGUGAAAGCGGGGGACCGCAAGGCCUCGCGCAAUAGGAGCGGCCGAUGUCUGAUUAGCUAGUUGGUGGGGUAAAGGCUCACCAAGGCGACGAUCAGUAGCUGGUCUGAGAGGACGAUCAGCCACAAUGGGACUGAGACACGGCCCAGACUCCUACGGGAGGCAGCAGUGGGGAAUUUUGGACAAUGGGGGCAACCCUAAUCCAGCAAUGCCGCGUGUGUGAAGAAGGCCUUCGGGUUGUAAAGCACUUUUGUCCGGAAAGAAAUCGCGCUGGUUAAUACCUGGCGUGGAUGACGGUACCGGAAGAAUAAGCACCGGCUAACUACGUGCCAGCCGCCGCCGUAAAAC
rnacentral:rRNA from 1 species